rnacentral:rRNA from 1 species
AGCAUAUCAAUAAGCGGAGGAAAAGAAACCAACAGGGAUUGCCUCAGUAACGGCGAGUGAAGCGGCAACAGCUCAAAUUUGAAAUCUGGCCUCUUUGGGGUCCGAGUUGUAAUUUGUAGAGGAUGUUUCGGGUACCGCCUCGGUCUAAAUUUCUUGGAACAGAAUGUCAAAGAGGGUGAGAAUCCCGUCUUGGACCGGCGGUAGGGCCCAUGUGAAACUCCUUCGACGAGUCGAGUUGUUUGGGAAUGCAGCUCAAAAUGGGUGGUAAAUUUCAUCUAAAGCUAAAUAUUGGCCAGAGACCGAUAGCGCACAAGUAGAGUGAUCGAAAGAUGAAAAGCACUUUGAAAAGAGAGUUAAACAGUAUGUGAAAUUGUUGAAAGGGAAGCGCUUGCAACCAGACUUGAGCGCGGCGGUUCCCCCUUCCUUUUGGUUGGGUUAUUCCGUCGUGUCCAGGCCAACAUCGGUUCUGGGGGUCGGUUAAAGGCUCGAGGAAUGUACCUACUCCUUCGGGGGUAGACUUAUAGCCUCGGGUGUCAUGCGACCUCCCGGGACCGAGGAACGCGCUUCGGCUCGGAUGUUGGCGUAAUGGUUGUCAGCGACCCGUCUUGAAACACGGACCAAGGAGUCUAACAUCUAUGCGAGUGUUUGGGUGUCAAACCCGGAACGCGGAAUGAAAGUGAACGGAGGUAGGAAGCCGUGAGGCUGCACUAUCGACCGAUCCUGAUGUCUUCGGAUGGAUUUGAGUAAGAGCAUAGCUGUUGGGACCCGAAAGAUGGUGAACUAUGCCUGAAUAGGGUGAAGCCAGAGGAAACUCUGGUGGAGGCUCGCAGCGGUUCUGACGUGCAAAUCGAUCGUCAAAUUUGGGUAUAGGGGCGAAAGACUAAUCGAACCAUCUGGUAGCUGGUUCCUGCCGAU